AUGAACGCUAGCGGCAGGCUUAACACAUGCAAGUCGAGGGGCAACAUAAUGGUAGUAAUACUAUUGAUGGCGACCGGCGGACGGGUGCGUAACGCGUAUGCAACCUACCCUUUACAGGGGGAUAACACUGAGAAAUCGGUACUAAUACCCCAUAAUAUUCUGGGAGGCAUCUUUCGGAGUUGAAAGCUUUGGUGGUAAAGGAUGGGCAUGCGUUGUAUUAGCUAGUUGGUAAGGUAACGGCUUACCAAGGCGACGAUACAUAGGGGGACUGAGAGGUUAACCCCCCACAUUGGUACUGAGACACGGACCAAACUCCUACGGGAGGCAGCAGUGAGGAAUAUUGGUCAAUGGACGGAAGUCUGAACCAGCCAUGCCGCGUGCAGGAAGACGGCUCUAUGAGUUGUAAACUGCUUUUGUACGAGGGUAAACGCAGAUACGUGUAUCUGCCUGAAAGUAUCGUACGAAUAAGGAUCGGCUAACUCCGUGCCAGCAGCCGCGGUAAUACGGAGGAUCCAAGCGUUAUCCGGAUUUAUUGGGUUUAAAGGGUGCGUAGGCGGUUUAGUAAGUCAGCGGUGAAAUUUUGGUGCUUAACACCAAACGUGCCGUUGAUACUGCUGGGCUAGAGAGUAGUUGCGGUAGGCGGAAUGUAUGGUGUAGCGGUGAAAUGCUUAGAGAUCAUACAGAACACCGAUUGCGAAGGCAGCUUACCAAACUAUAUCUGACGUUGAGGCACGAAAGCGUGGGGAGCAAACAGGAUUAGAUACCCUGGUAGUCCACGCCGUAAACGAUGAGUGCUAGGUGUUAGGCCCUUUCCGGGGCUUAGUGCCGCAGCUAACGCAUUAAGCACUCCGCCUGGGGAGUACGACCGCAAGGUUGAAACUCAAAGGAAUUGACGGGGGCCCGCACAAGCGUAGGAACAUGUGGUUUAAUUCGAUAAUACGCGAGGAACCUUACCCGGGCUUGAAAGUUACUGACGAUUCUGGAAACAGGAUUUCCCUUCGGGGCAGGAAACUAGGUGCUGCAUGGUUGUCGUCAGCUCGUGCCGUGAGGUGUCGGGUUAAGUCCCAUAACGAGCGCAACCCCUACUGAUAGUUGCCAUCAGAGCGUUUGAGCGAUCAAACAAGCUGGGCACUCUAUCGGGACUGCCGGUGUAAGCCGAGAGGAAGGUGGGGAUGACGUCAAAUCAGCACGGCCCUUACGUCCGGGGCGACACACGUGUUACAAUGGUAGGUACAGAGGGCAGCCACCCAGUGAUGGGGAGCGAAUCUCGAAAGCCUAUCUCAGUUCGGAUUGGAGGCUGAAACUCGCCUCCAUGAAGUUGGAUUCGCUAGUAAUCGCGCAUCAGCCAUGGCGCGGUGAAUACGUUCCCGGGCCUUGUACACACCGCCCGUCAAGCCAUGGGAGUUGGGGGUGCCUGAAGUUCGUGACCGAAAGGAGCGACCUAGGGCAAAACCGAUGACUGGGGCU
rnacentral:rRNA from 1 species